UAUGUUUUAUGUGUGCUUUUUCUAGUGUAAAUGCAGUACUUUUUUUGGUGUUACUUUUGUGACAGCUUUUCGAACAUGGUGACCGAAAUUCGUGGGGGAGCACUUACCAAAAUCUUGGACUCAAAACUUAUUUACUCGACACAUUAUCCAAUUUUAUAAUACAUGUUUCACUCUUGUGUUUUUCAAUGGUGGUUCUUUUUUGUAAAAGUUAAAUUAAAAAAAACUUUCCCACUCUCCUUUGUUGCACUGUUU
rnacentral:lncRNA from 1 species